CUGGAGGUAUCAGAAGUGCGAAUGCUGACAUAAGUAACGAUAAAGCGGGUGAAAAGCCCGCUCGCCGGAAGACCAAGGGUUCCUGUCCAACGUUAAUCGGGGCAGGGUGAGUCGACCCCUAAGGCGAGGCCGAAAGGCGUAGUCGAUGGGAAACGGGUUAAUAUUCCCGUACUUGGUGUUACUGCGAAGGGGGGACGGAGAAGGCUAUGUUGGCCGGGCGACGGUUGUCCCGGUUUAAGCGUGUAGGUGUGUGUUCCAGGUAAAUCCGGUUCACUUUAACACUGAGGCGUGAUGACGAGGCACUACGGUGCUGAAGCAACAAAUGCCCUGCUUCCAGGAAAAGCCU
rnacentral:rRNA from 1 species